UAGCCUAUACCUUAAUGGUAAAGGGUCCGAUCGAUAAUCGGUUGAUGUAAGUUCGAUUCUUACUAGGCUAA
rnacentral:tRNA from 2 species